UAAAAGAAGCAGAAUCACCUCUGCAAGAAAGCAAAAUAAUUCUGCAGCACCUUGGGGUGAUCCUGCCAUCCUGCAAUGAUGGAGAUUUUGCUCUCAUUGAGUCUGUCUGGAUUAUUUCUGGUUCAUGGACACUCUGGUUUAUUCCUGUCUUCAUAUCAUCUGGACCUCUUUCCUGGUGGUAAGUGCUGAGUAGAUGCUGUCAUUGUGUUCUGGGUUGGAUGUCUUUGGAAAUCUGGGAAUAUUCUGACAAAUUUCUUCCUUCUCGACCCUUAAUGACCCAAUCAACUAUAGGCCAGUCUGGAUGGCAUGGAUGAGAAGGUUGCCUGAGUCAUAUUCUAUACUUCUAACACAGUUGUCACCCUCAAGUUGACUAGUUU
rnacentral:lncRNA from 1 species